rnacentral:rRNA from 1 species
CGGCCGCGUCGACGUAGGCGGAAUGCGUGGUGUAGCGGUGAAAUGCAUAGAUAUCACGCAGAACUCCGAUUGCGAAGGCAGCUUGCCAAGCCAUAACUGACACUGAAGCACGAAAGCGUGGGUAUCAAACAGGAUUAGAUACCCUGGUAGUCCACGCAGUAAACGAUGAUUACUAGGAGUUUGCGAUAUAAUGUAAGCUCUACAGCGAAAGCGUUAAGUAAUCCACCUGGGGAGUACGCCGGCAACGGUGAAACUCAAAGGAAUUGACGGGGGCCCGCACAAGCGGAGGAACAUGUGGUUUAAUUCGAUGAUACGCGAGGAACCUUACCCGGGUUUGAACGCAGUCUGACCGGUCGACGCGGCCG